UACGAAGGGUGCAAACGUUGCUCGGAAUUAUUGGGCGUAAAGCGCACGUAGGCGGCUUUGCAAGUCGGAUGUGAAAUCCCUCGGCUCAACCAAGGAAGUGCAUCCGAAACUGCAGAGCUUGAGUACCAAAGAGGAUCGCGGAAUUCCCGGUGUAGAGGUGAAAUUCGUAGAUAUCUGGAGGAACACCGGUGGCGAAGGCGGCAUCCUGGACCGGUAUUGACGCUGAGGCGCGAAAGCCAGGGGAGCAAACGGG
rnacentral:rRNA from 1 species